rnacentral:snoRNA from 1 species
GCACCUGAUUCUUUCCCAUUCCUGCUGCUUCAUGCUGGUCUUGGGGACAGAAGGUGCUAUACUCUGAGCAGAGAACUUCCAGAUGGGUUGUUUUCCAUUUGUCUUGGGCCCUGUCUCUACAACAGUGCCACAUUA